rnacentral:rRNA from 1 species
AUUGAACGCUGGCGGCAUGCCUUACACAUGCAAGUCGGACGGCAGCACGGGUGCUUGCACCUGGUGGCGAGUGGCGAACGGGUGAGUAAUACAUUGGAACGUACCUUAUCGUGGGGGAUAACGCAGCGAAAGCUGUGCUAAUACCGCAUACGCCCUGAGGGGGAAAGCGGGGGAUCGAAAGACCUCGCGCGAUUAGAGCGGCCGAUGCCUGAUUAGCUUGUUGGUGGGGUAAAAGCCCACCAAGGCGACGAUCAGUAGCUGGUCUGAGAGGACGAUCAGCCACACUGGGACUGAGACACGGCCCAGACUCCUACGGGAGGCAGCAGUGGGGAAUUUUGGACAAUGGGGGCAACCCUGAUCCAGCAAGGCCGCGUGAGUGAAGAAGGCCUUCGGGUUGUAAAGCUCUUUUGUCAGGGAAGGAACACCGGUUCUAACACAGUCCGGGAAUGACGGUACCUGAAGAAUAAGCACCGGCUAACUACGUGCCAGCCGCCGCGGUAA